ACGGGUGAGGAACACGUAGGAACCUGCCCAAAAGAGGGGGAUAACCAAGGGAAACUUUGGCUAAUACCGCGUAAUCUCGAGAGAGAAAAGCUGCCGCAAGGUGGCGCUUUUGGAGGGGCCUGCGUCCGAUUAGCUAGUUGGUAGGGUAAAAGCCUACCAAGGCGAUGAUCGGUAACUGGUCUGAGAGGACGGCCAGUCACACUGGGACUGAGACACGGCCCAGACUCCUACGGGAGGCAGCAGUGGGGAAUAUUGGACAAUGGGGGCAACCCUGAUCCAGCGAUGCCGCGUGAGUGAAGAAGGCCCUCGGGUCGUAAAGCUCUUUAGGUUGGGAAGAAGGUUGGUAGAGGAAAUGCUAUCAAUUUGACGGUACCGACAGAAUAAGCACCGGCAAACUCUGUGCCAGCAGCCGCGGUAAUACAGAGGGUGCGAGCGUUAAUCGGAUUUACUGGGCGUAAAGGGCGCGUAGGCGGUUGGAUGAGUGUGAUGUGAAAGCCCCGGGCUUAACCUGGGAAGUGCAUCGCAAACGAUUCGACUAGAGUAUAUGAGAGGGUGGCGGAAUUUCCGGU
rnacentral:rRNA from 1 species